GGGCUCGUAACUCAGUGGUAGAGUGUACGCCUGAUAAGCGUAAAGCCGAUCGUUCAAUCCGAUUCGGGCCCA
rnacentral:tRNA from 1 species